rnacentral:rRNA from 1 species
GAAGGGACCUAGCGUAGUUCGGAAUUACUGGGCUUAAAGAGUUCGUAGGUGGUUGAAAAAGUUAGUGGUGAAAUCCCAGAGCUUAACUCUGGACCUGCCAUUAAAACUUUUCAGCUAGAGUAUGAUAGAGGAAAGCAGAAUUUCUAGUGUAGAGGUGAAAUUCGUAGAUAUUAGAAAGAAUACCAAUUGCGAAGGCAGCUUUCUGGAUCAUUACUGACACUGAGGAACGAAAGCAUGGGUAGCGAAGAGGAUUAGAUACCCUCGUAGUCCAUGCCGUAAACGAUGUGUGUUAGACGUUGGAAAUUUAUUUUCAGUGUCGCAGCGAAAGCGAUAAACACACCGCCUGGGGAGUACGACCGCAAGGUUAAAACUCAAAUGAAUUGACGGGGACCCGCACAAGUAGUGGAGCAUGUGGUUUAAUUCCAAGAUACCCGCAGAACCUUACCAACACUUGACAUGUU